rnacentral:rRNA from 1 species
AUUAUUUAAGUUUAGAAUAUGAGAAACUAAGUUAUGUUUAGUUAUAUUUUUACUGAUUUUUAUAGAGUAAAGAUAGAAAUAAAACUUAGUAAAAUCAGUAAAAAUAUUCUUAGGCUAAAGUUAAGUAGUUUAAGUUGUGUGCAAGUGGUAGGAGAGCGUUCUAUUUGCGUCGAAGGUAUACCGGUAAGGAGUGCUGGAGCGAAUAGAAGUGAGCAUGCAGGCAUGAGUAGCGAUAAUUAAUGUGAGAAUCAUUAACGCCGUAAACCCAAGGUUUCCUACGCGAUGCUCGUCAUCGUAGGGUUAGUCGGGUCCUAAGUCGAGUCCGAAAGGGGUAGACGAUGGCAAAUUGGUUAAUAUUCCAAUACCAACAUUAGUGUGCGAUGGAAGGACGCUUAGGGCUAAGGGGGCUAGCGGAUGGAAGUGCUAGUCUAAGGUCGUAGGAGGUUAUACAGGCAAAUCCGUAUAACAAUACUCCGAGAACUGAAAGGCUUUUUGAAGUCUUCGGAUGGAUAGAAGAACCCCUGAUGCCGUCGAGCCAAGAAAAGUUUCUAAGUUUAGCUAAUGUUGCCCGUACCGUAAACCGACACAGGUGGGUGGGAUGAGUAUUCUAAGGCGCGUGGAAGAACUCUCUUUAAGGAACUCUGCAAAAUAGCACCGUAUCUUCGGUAUAAGGUGUGGUUAGCUUUGUAUUAGGAUUUACUCCGAAAGCAAGGAAACUUACAACAAAGAGUCCCUCCCGACUGUUUACCAAAAACACAGCACUCUGCUAACUCGUAAGAGGAUGUAUAGGGUGUGACGCCUGCCCGGUGCUCGAAGGUUAAUUGAUGGGGUUAGCAUUAGCGAAGCUCUUGAUCGAAGCCCGAGUAAACGGCGGCCGUAACUAUAACGGUCCUAAGGUAGCGAAAUUCCUUGUCGGUUAAAUACCGACCUGCAUGAAUGGCGUAACGAGAUGGGAGCUGUCUCAAAGAGGGAUCCAGUGAAAUUGUAGUGGAGGUGAAAAUUCCUCCUACCCGCGGCAAGACGGAAAGACCCCGUGGACCUUUACUACAGCUUGACACUGCUACUUGGAUAAGAAUGUGCAGGAUAGGUGGGAGGCUUUGAGUAUAUGACGCCAGUUGUAUAUGAGCCAUUGUUGAGAUACCACUCUUUCUUAUUUGGGUAGCUAACCAGCUUGAGUUAUCCUCAAGUGGGACAAUGUCUGGUGGGUAGUUUGACUGGGGCGGUCGCCUCCCAAAUAAUAACGGAGGCUUACAAAGGUUGGCUCAGAACGGUUGGAAAUCGUUCGUAGAGUAUAAAGGUAUAAGCCAGCUUAACUGCAAGACAUACAAGUCAAGCAGAGACGAAAGUCGGUCUUAGUGAUCCGGUGGUUCUGUGUGGAAGGGCCAUCGCUCAAAGGAUAAAAGGUACCCCGGGGAUAACAGGCUGAUCUCCCCCAAGAGCUCACAUCGACGGGGAGGUUUGGCACCUCGAUGUCGGCUCAUCGCAUCCUGGGGCUGGAGCAGGUCCCAAGGGUAUGGCUGUUCGCCAUUUAAAGCGGUACGCGAGCUGGGUUCAGAACGUCGUGAGACAGUUCGGUCCCUAUCUGCCGUGGGCGUAAGAAGAUUGAAGAGAUUUGACCCUAGUACGAGAGGACCGGGUUGAACAAACCACUGGUGUAGCUGUUGUUCUGCCAAGAGCAUCGCAGCGUAGCUAAGUUUGGAAAGGAUAAACGCUGAAAGCAUCUAAGCGUGAAGCCAACUCUAAGAUGAAUCUUCUCUAAGCUCUCUAGAAGACUACUAGUUUGAUAGGCUGGGUGUGUAAUGGAUGAAAGUCCUUUAGCUGACCAGUACUAAUAGAGCGUUUGGCUUAUCUUU